AGCGGCCAGAGUUUCCCCCUUUCUAUGUUCGUCGUUUCCAAACCCUCGAAAGCUCUCUUCCAAAGAUCGCCAAACCGAAAACCUAGCCCUAAAUAAUUCCGAAGAGGCGAUCGAAUACGUUUUCCCCCCUCAAAUCUUGGAGCGGAAUCCGUCGCGGCGCCCGAUCUGCGUCCCUGGAGUCUCCGCAGGUUUCCCCUCUUCCUUGUCGGCGAGAUAGGGUUUCAAGAAUCUGGGAAAUCUAGGGAUUGCUGGCAUGAGGUUGGAUGGAUGAAGGAUGCCGGAGCUCCGUAGUGGAGUGCGGAGGGGCCGAGCGCAGGCGAAUCCGAUAGUCCAGGCCGAGAGGCCUACCGCCGCGAGGAGGAGGAGGGCGGCGAGGAACAAGGCGCCGCUGGUGGACGCGAACCCGGUGAACCCGUCCGCUGAGCCAAGGGAGCAUAUCAGGAUUCUGGAGGGCGGGGACGACGUCGGAGGUUUGGUUGGGGAGGAGAUUAAGGAAGAGGUCGGUGAGAGGAAGAUGGAUGACUGUGAUAGCGGGGCGAAGAGCCCCGACAAGCUCCCCGGUGGGGAGGACGAGGGAAGCACGGCGCCUCUUCCAGAAAAGGUCCAGAUUGGGAAUUCACCUGUGUAUAAAAUUGAGAGGAAACUAGGGAAAGGAGGAUUUGGUCAAGUGUAUGUUGGUCGCCGUAUUUCAGCUACUAAUGCAAAUGAUAGGAUUACUGGUUCCAGUGCUGUGGAGGUGGCAUUAAAGUUUGAGCAUAGAAGCAGUAAGGGAUGCAACUAUGGGCCCCCUUAUGAAUGGCAAGUUUACAACACUCUUGGUGGCAUUCAUGGUGUGCCACGUGUCCAUUACAAGGGUCGCCAAGGAGACUAUUAUGUCAUGAUUAUGGAUAUGUUGGGCCCAAGUCUAUGGGAUGUUUGGAAUAAUAACUCGCACACAAUGUCCAUUGAAAUGGUUGCGUGUAUUGCUAUUGAGGCAAUUUCCAUACUGGAGAAGAUGCAUUCCAAAGGGUAUGUGCAUGGGGAUGUGAAGCCUGAAAACUUCUUACUUGGACCUCCUGGGACUCCUGAAGAGAAAAAACUGUUUCUUGUUGAUCUUGGCUUAGCCACUAGAUGGAAGGACCAUUCUACAGGUAUGCAUGUUGAGUACGACCAACGUCCAGAUGUUUUCAGGGGAACAGUUCGCUAUGCUAGUGUUCAUGCUCACCUAGGAAGAACAGCAAGCAGGAGAGAUGAUUUAGAAUCCCUUGCUUAUACACUAAUAUUUCUUCUCCGUGGCCGUCUACCAUGGCAAGGAUACCAGGGAGAGAACAAAGGUUUCCUUGUCUCCAAAAAGAAGAUGGCUACAUCUCCAGAGGCUUUAUGUUGCUUUUGUCCACAACCCUUCAGACAGUUUGUUGAGUAUGUCGUCAACUUAAAGUUUGAUGAGGAACCUAAUUAUGCAAAGUGCAUUUCUCUCUUUGAUGGCAUUGUAGGUCCAAAUCCAGAUAUCAGGCCAAUUAACACUGAUGGUGCUCAAAAGCUUAUAUAUCAGGUUGGGCAAAAGAGAGGUCGGCUGAUGUUGGAAGAAGAGGAUGAUGAGCAGCCAAAGAAGAAGGUUAGAAUGGGGAUGCCUGCAACACAAUGGAUUAGUGUUUAUAAUGCUCGGCGACCCAUGAAGCAGAGGUAUCACUACAAUGUUGCAGAUGGGAGGCUUGCACAACAUAUUGAGAAAGGAAAUGAAGAUGGUUUAUUUAUCAGUUGUGUUGCAUCUUGUACAAAUCUUUGGGCCUUGAUAAUGGAUGCAGGCACAGGUUUUACUGCUCAAGUGUACGAACUGUCACCAAAUUUUCUUCACAAAGAAUGGAUAAUGGAGCAAUGGGAGAAGAACUAUUACAUUAGCGCAUUGGCAGGAGCAAAUAAUGGUAGCUCCUUGGUAGUAAUGUCUAAAGGUACACAGUAUGCACAACAGUCAUACAAAGUGAGUGAUUCAUUUCCUUUCAAGUGGAUAAACAAAAAAUGGAGAGAGGGUUUCUAUGUCACUGCCAUGGCAACUGCUGGGAGUAGAUGGGCAGUUGUCAUGUCCCGUAAUGCUGGCUUUUCAGAUCAGGUUGUUGAACUUGACUUCUUAUACCCUAGCGAAGGUAUUCACCGGAGAUGGGAUAAUGGCUACCGUAUAACUGCAACUGCUGCAACAUGGGACCAGGCUGCAUUUGUACUAAGUGUGCCUAGGAGGAGGCCUGCAGAUGAAACACAAGAGACACUUAGAACUUCUGCUUUUCCUAGUCAGCAUGUCAAGGAUAAGUGGGCAAAAAAUCUUUAUAUUGCAUCGGUUUGUUAUGGCCGCACUGUUUCCUAAGGUUCCCUGUUCUCUCUUGGGAUGACAAAGGCUUAAUCCACUUAUGUUGCAACCCCCCAUCCUGUUGAGUUGGACACCACGAGCUUAAACUUUUGGAAAGGCAACUGCCCUAUAUUUUGAUGUGCAAACUUAAAUGUUACCAUCUCUGCUGUCAGCUAAAGCUAACAAAUGGUGCGGUCUCACUGUCAAGUUUUGAAGAUGCCCUCACUUGUGCUAUCAAAAUUAGAUUGGAUGGAUCCUACAAUCUGCCAAUGGAGAAGCAUAUUGCUGUAACUGUUUCAGUGCUUUUGUUAAUCGGGUUCUGUUGGUUUCUCCACUAGCUGCAAAUCACAAGAACAAGAAUUCCCGUCGCAUGGCUUGCUUGAAGGCUGCGAGAGCUUGGAAAUGAUAGCCAAGAUGGGGAGUCAAACCUGGUGCAUUGAAUCCAACAUGACGAACGAACUAGUAAAAUGUCUAUAGAAGAUUCUUGCGGAGAUGCUGAGAUUGUAACUUCACACUGUAAGUUGCAUCUUACGAGGACUGCUGGUCCAUUUUUCCUGUUGCAAGGGAUGAUCACACGGCCAUCUGCUGUAGAAUGGCACCCUAAUGGCCUGUGGGACAAGGUGCCAUGUUGUUAUGUCACAGAAGGAUAUCAACAGUUUAUGGUCCAACGUUGCGCAUCUGAAGCCCGUGGUUCUCAAUCCGCAGGACUUGAGGAACGGACGUGUAAUUUCCUGUGGGGAUACGAUAAUUUUGUGACAACCUUUCGUGAUGCAGCGUUGCGCAUCCAAGGUUAGAGGCAGUCAGUCGCAGGUCAGCGACCGAGGAACAGAAAUGAUUCCAGGACCCGUUCGAUUGCUUUCUUUUGGUCCUUGGUAAUGUGGGAUCUAUGGGGUUUGGGUUACGUCUCCCUUCCUUCUCUCCCUCUGCUUGACCCUUUUCGCCCCUCCGUUUGUUACUAAUGCUGACUCCCACCUCACCCUUAGCCGUGUCUCCUCCCUCACCCCUCCCGCCGCCGCGGCCGCUGCCUCUCCUCGGUCCUGGGAGAGGUAUGGAGGUCGAGCCGAGCAUGGAAUGGACGUUAGAGAGGGGCAGAGCUUCCUCUCUCUCUCCGUCAGCGAGAGGGAUCCAGACGGGAAAAGUAGUCAAAUAUUAACGGACCUCCGUCUGCUAUGUCGCCAUGUCAAAGUAUGUGAGAGGAUUUGCUCAAAAGAUGAGAACACGGUCUCUGCAAAAUACCUUCUACAGUUGGCUUUGGCACAAAGUGAGCUGGUCUAUCAUUAUGCCAUCCACAAUUUAUCGGAUGAUCCUUAGGAAGGCAGUUCCAUAUGUUCAAAAACAAGCUGCCUGGUGCCCUGGUAAAUCCAAAACUUCCAUUAAGGAUCGUAAGUUUGCUGUUGUAGCAGGAUCCCUACGUUUGAGCAAACCAAGAUAUGUUACAUCCUGUGUUUAGCUGAUUUCCUCGACGUGGACACGUCGUAGCCGACCUCACACCCGUUUUCGAGGUUUUCCUUGAUUUUCGGGUUGGAUGAAAAAUGAAGUGUUGGCGAAAUUGGGCUGUACCUUAGCUUUUGUUAGGAUAUAUUUGAAGAUUACUUUAAAGAUUACAUUUCUGCAUAGGUUAAUAUUGAAUUAUGUGUAAAUGGAAAUCACAAAC